ACGGCGUUUGAAACUUCGACCACAAUUGCUCUCAUGCAGCGUGUCCUGUCUUUUUUGAGGCGGGCUAAUCGGUCAACUCGAUUUAUUAGCCGGGCUCCUACCCUCAGCAAAUGGGAUCGACCAGGUCCAAUGGACUAGGCCUUCUCCAUGCCGUGGAUUUUUCUAGUUAUGUUGAGUUGGCCACUAGCGGAUGAGGUCCCCAUCUAGGGUUUUAGACCCGACCCUUCCACGUAGUAAUGCUCUUGCUUCCUAUAUUCUAUUGUGUUAAAAGCUUCUUGGUCAGCAGCCUUGGCAUUGGGGAGGUUGGUAUUUUUCUGGUUUGCGGGGAGGCGAAACUCAUGCAUCAUCCAAUCAGUUUUGGUGCCUUUUCCUGCACUUCCACGGUAGUAUACUAAGGAUUUCUUCAGCCCAAUACAGUCAUGGCCUUCUCCAUUGUUAGAAUAUAUUGGCUUGUCUAUGCCUGUGGCUUUCCAAAAUCCGGACCUCGUGACUCUGUUGGGUCUUAUGCUAUUCCUGUAUUUUCUUCCUCUUUUGCAAAAGAAGUACCAUUCCUUGUCUGUAAGAGUAUUAAUAUUUUCUGCAUAUUUACAAGACAUAUCAGAGGAAGAAGAUUUCUCAAGCAUAUAUACAAAGAUUUGGGACACAAAAUGGGUUGUUGUACUGAAUAAAAGUGGGCUUGAAGUAUAUGUAUAUAUUGCUUUCCCCCUAUGAAAAAGGGUUUUCAUUUUU